rnacentral:tRNA from 1 species
UGGCUCAGUUGGAAGAGCAUGUGACUCUAAAUCUCAGGGUUGUGAGUUCAAACCCCAC